UAGCCUGAAUGUCAUGUGCUUUGAACUUU
rnacentral:piRNA from 1 species